CUCCCUCUCGCCCCACCUCUGUGUGAGCGACCCAGUGAAAGAUGAGCCCUUGAGGCACAUUCCCUAGUAGAUUUAAAUGACAAAUCUAGAAAGAAGCGGUUUAAAUAUUUAUGAAGAGGCGGAGAGGUGUAGAGUGUCUUCCGGAAACGCUUCUGAUUGGCUGGUGUUUUCAAGCAAGUGUUAGCUUUAUGAAAUGAGUGAGUACCCCCAGAUCAAUUCAAUGAUUAUGUUUCGUGCUUCGGUUUUUCUUCUUCCAAAAGCGCCACACCAUAUACAUCUAUUUAUUUUCUCAGUAAUUGGUUGCAUGUGUGGUCCGAGGGGCUCACUUUUGUCACAUUUUCACUCUCAAUAUAUUUUGUUUUUUGUAAAUCAUGUCUUAUUUUCAUCAAUUUUAAAAUGCAAAGAUCUGGGACAGAUGGAAACAAUUAGAACCUCCGCUCUGCUGAUGUGUAUAAUCUUAUUAGUUUAAUGGGUCACAGGGUGCAGGACCUAUUUCCUAUAGAUCAAAGUGAAAACAAACACGGUUAAUAUCCCAUUUUGUUUUAGAACCACAUCGGAUCGGGUUCCCUCUCUGGGCCGUGGUAAUGACAAUAUUAAGAGAGCUUGGGUUGCCUUGAAGUUUAGAGGGAAAAUUGAGUCAUGAAGCAUUUUGGUUUAAAAAUGCAUUGAUAUUAACACCAGGUAGCCGGUUGCCAGGUCCCUGAGCUCUCUUGCGUUUAUCACAACAGCAUGGCUUUUUAAAGGAUUUCAGUAAUGCUCGUUUUGAUCUUUUGCCUUAAAGCAAGUGAAAAAUCAUGCUUAUUUGGUUGUUAAUUAUACCAGUUCUCAGGUUUCCUCUAUUCAGGCUCAGUGCAAAACUUCCGAGCCCUUGGUGUAAUUUUCAACUAUGACUUCUUAAUGAUUUUUUUUCUUCAUCUGUGGAUAGUAGUCACAGACUCUUUUCAGAAUUUAAUUUAAAAAAAAAAGUUAAGGAGCCACAUGACCGCCACCCAAAAUGCAGCAUUUCAUUUCAGGGAGUUCCUGACCGCCUAAGGCCACUCCAUAGACUCCUAAAUAUCUGUGAACUCCGGUAUCAGAACCCACACCUUAAGGAAAUGUCUUUCAUAUUUUGAGUUGUGUUCGGUUGUGUUAUUCCGAGGCCAAAAUAUAAUCUUCUAAGCACCUACGGGGUUGGACCAGAGCCUCUCUCUUCGUGACAAAGACCCCCUUUGGAAACCUCCCGCAGCAACUUCUCACCCCAAUAAAUUAAAUGCAGCCGCAGUGUGGUCCAUUACACUGGAGUGUGAGGUGACGGCCCCUGUCAAAGGUGAACGGCCCAGUACAGCCCCUUAAAUAUUCCUACAGAUAAUAAAUAUCUGUGUAAGGAAGGGAUGUAAAAGUUUCCUAUUCGUUUGGAAAGCUCGGUACUACAACAAUGAAUAAACAUUGCAGACUGAUGAAUGCCCCCAAGUCCCUCCACAGAGGCGGCGGGGAGAGAACCAGAUCUUAAAAAAUUUUUCACUCUAGGCCUGGAGGCCGGGUGCUGCGGCCACCCGUGCCUCGACGUGUUCCUCCGCACGGGCUCUAGGAAUGUAAAUACCACGAGUUGAGACAGGUCUGGGCCCCGGACAGAGCGGUCCGUGGUUUUAGCAAUUCAUUUUAAUUCCGAAGCGGUCCAGUGCAUUUGCUUUCACUUGGUUGCGCGGGGCUGGAAUUGAUAAGAGAGAAAACCAUGUACUUGUCCUUGUGGGUUGGGAAACAGGGUCACUGAAUCCUGGGCUGGCUCUCACAGCUUCCUGGCAGAGUUCACACACGCACUCAGAGGCUGCGCCAGCCCUGUACCGCAGGACUGCGGGCGCUCCCUUGCCGGCACUCCUCCUUCGGUUCAGAAACCAAAGUGGAAACGCAUGGAUCAAGUUGCAGGGAAGUCUGACAUCUGGGACAGAUGUUGCUCCUCUGCCCGUGGCGGUUCCUCAGAUAAAUCCUCAUUGCUUUAUUUUAAUUUGCCUUUGAAUUUCGUUAUUUUUGCCUCAAUGCAACACAUAGUCUUUUUUUUUUCUGCUUUAUUUAACUCUCACGGUCCUCUGCGCUAUUUUUAUCAAUGGUAUAACUUUAUUUUGGGAAAGGGAUUAUUUCCCCCUCAGAAAUGGGGGGAAAUAAUCAAAUCUCCAGUCAAUUAUGUCUUGAAAUUUAACUCUGCUUUUACUGGUCCAUCAUAAAACAUUUAAACCGUUAAAAACAUGUCCCUCACUGAUCAACUUUAGUUGUUUUGUGUUUUAAAACAUGGAAAUACAACCCCUGUGUGUGUAUGUCACAUUACGGACAGACCAUAUUAAUCUCUUUCUCACAGAAAAAACAUCUGCGUGUGUGAGUCUAAGUAAUUAUUCAUCUAGGGUAACAAAUUCUAGAAGGCUUGACCUACCUUCCUUCCUCCCUUCCUUCCUCCCUUCCUUCCUUCUUUCCUUCCUUCCUUCCUUUUUCUUUUCCUUUCUCUUUUUCUUUUUUUGUGCUUCUUUGUAUCUAAUACCCAGGGGCAUUAACAACAUCUCCUCUGCCUCGUCUUCCCGUGUGUAGAGGGACCCGUCUCACGUCCAACAAUAGAUACCCCUUUUAUUAUAUAUUUUUCCUUUUGUUUUUCUUGACCAACAAUUUCCCUUCAGUUAUUUAUUUUAGCUGGGUAACCCCAAGCUAUAUGCUCCGUGUAAACCAGAAUGGUGUGGUCGGUUUUGUGACAGGUAGUGGCUUCCUGAGCUGGCUCUGAUGCGCACCUCUGAGGCGAGCCAAGGCGGAAACUGUCAUUCCUAGAGGAAAGCGAUGCCCGUCUGGGAAGAAUCUGGGAAACCCCAGCAUUCCUAUGAGCUGCGGCCCACUAAGCGCCCCUGACCGCAGUGAUCACUGUCUCCUAGAUUUUUUGACAAUGUUGUUUUGCUUUGUUUUAAAAUAUUAUCGUUACUGCUGAGAAACGUGGACUCUUAUGAUGAAGACCUGCCGGGCCUUCCCCAGCCAUUUCACUCCCUGGCCUCCUCCAAGAUGGCUUUCAUUUAGGGAGGGUCAGACUCAUCUAGGUGACAUUUCCCCGAGCCUUUCAGUCAAGUUGGUCUACAAAUUCACCAAAUUAGUGCUUGGUCUACAUCUAGGGCUUCCUGCACGGAAAGGCCAAUAGAAAAGUCCACGACUUGACUUUUACGCCACAUCACUACAGCCACAAAACGGGGACCUCCUCGGGACUGGAGGCGGAUCCUCCACGGGUCCCCGGCCAGGCCCAUCCUCCUCGCAGCGCGCCUGGUGCGGCCGUACCAAUUCCGCGCCGUGCAGCCUGGAGUUACAGGCCCCGACCGAGCCAAGAUCUGAGGCUGCCGGGCCCUCCCUGUUUACUGGGGGCUCUGCUACCGGAAGUCAUUUGACAAAUCUCAGGCAGGCCUUUCUAAUCUUUACUGCUCGGCAGAGCUUUGCAAAUCUCUAAACACGCUGUAACCUUCUUCAAACAGCACGCCAGACACACUUGAAGGUUUUUUUUUUUUUUUUGAGGCCGGACGGAAUGGAAACUGCAUCUGCACGGGAUCUCUCCACAGUCUGGCCCGCAACACUGCCAGCACCUUCCCUAGACCCUCGCCUCCCCGCUUCCCCCGCACGCGGAUUCUCGCGCAUCCGUGCGCCCACUCAGCCCCGGGAGCCCUCCUGCCCCGGGAAGCCUCAGACGGUCUUGGGCUGGAGACUCACCCUGCGCCCCUGCAGCGGGCUGCGGGGAGAGAACCUUGGGGAACCAGGCAGGACCGGCAAGGGUGGACCGAGUGAUUUAUGACCCUGAUCAAACUUUUUAGGAAGCAGAAAUUAACCUGAGGGAGAUUAGGCCUGAGCUUUGAAGUUCACGGUUUUGUUUUCCUUCAGCCCAGUUCUGCCAUCAGAUGGUUCUUGGUUCCUUCUACCCCUCUCCUCCUCCCCCUCCUUCGGUCUCUCGUCACCCCACUUUAUCCUCCAGCAACCCCUCCUGCGUUGAUUUUCUUAAUUUCAAAUACAAAUAUCUGAACACCAGAAACUGAAGUUCCUGACAGUGACCUAUUGAACAGAGGCAUCGCAUACUCCCUACAUCCCAGUCUUCUUGGAAUUGCGUUUUACGUUUGAAAGUGCGAUUUUGGUUUGGAGGUCGGGAGUAGAAAAUUUGUAUCUGUUCUUUUCUUUUGCUGUUUCCUACUUGCCUUUCAAUACCCAUACUUAUUCCGCCCUCGGAGACUGGCCCUUCCCGGCAGAGCAGAAGCGCACGAGGGUUGAGUAACUCUGCAGGUGAGAGCUAAUUUUUCAGCGCAUCCACCAGAUACCUCAGGUUUGUGGAUUUUCCCCCUAGUUGGCCAGAAAACUCACACCCAAACAUGCAAGUCCUCUAUGGCCUCUCCGUCCUCUUACCUUGGCCCUCUUUAUUUCCAUAUCUCCCUCCUCCCCAUGCAGAUCUCUAAAGGGAAUCUGUCUCCUGCGGUUCUUUCCCGCAGGCGCCUGCUGAAAAGGCAAUUUCCUUGGGGGUGUGCCUAGGGAGAGAGGAAAACAGAAACCAGGAUUGUUUGGGGGCCUGAAACCAUCCAAAUUUUAUUGCAUCCGCUACAAAGUCAACUAACUCUUAAUGAGCAUCCAAGCGGAAAAAGGCCGAAGUUUACUCCGUGUUAGGGCGGGGAAUGGGGGUGGGGGUGAUGGGAGUUUGCUUAUUUCCUUCUGGUACAACCAAAGGUUGCAACACCUUCCUGAGAGGCUCCUCCCAACGCCAAGAGUACGGACGCGAAAGUCAGAAGGCAUCGGGUUUCAGCCCCCUGAAUGAUCCAAGAUCACUCCGCCACGAAGACCUUCGAAGUUGGCCCUGUCUACAGCUUGUAAUUAAAAGGAUAAUGUGUCUUGUAAUAAAAAACAAGACCCACACAAACAAACCCAGCGUCCAACGGCCCUCCACCUCGCCACACUCUUCUCUAAUAAGGGCCAGUGACAAACAUUGCCAUCCAGUUUAACCCAAAAGGAGGAAGCAGUAGAUCUUCCUUUUAAUAACUUCCCAAAGUGUUACAAAUAAUAAAAAGGACGCAUAAAUCAUCGCGGGGGCGGCAGAACGGGGACGACAGAAGGAUUUACUCCUCUCUAGCCCUGGCUUCCAACCGCGCUCUCAUUGGCUACUUCCUUGUGGCCCGCCCCCGAAUCCGCUCUCUUAUUGGUGCGUCUGGUCCCAGACGCAGAGACAGGGCGUAGGAUCGGUGGGGGCUGGAGUCCACCAGUGCGCAUGCGCGCUAUGGCGCGCAUGUAUGAUUGACAGCAGGGAGAGGUGUUUGUGCGCGCGCGCGUGCGUGCGUGCGUGUGUGUGUGUGUGUGUGUGUGUGUGUGUGUGUGUGUGUCUCUCUCAGGGUUGAGGCAGCGAAGGUGGUGGUGGCGGGGCGACGGUGAAAGUGGUGGCUGUGAGUGCUGGAGCUGAGGCCGCUUUUGCCGCCGCGGUGAGGUGUAGUCCUGUUUGCCGGCGUUUUCCGCUGAGUCAGAAGCGCUGGUGGUCACAGACUGCGCUCUCACCCACACUGAGGUCGAUCUGGAAGGAAUUUACUGAGGGGGCUCUCCAGCAGCUGGCUAACCGGGAAGGAAGUAGAACUAGAAGACAUGCUUUACUCUUCCUGAAGAAGAUACUUAAGCCCCUCAAGAAGAGAUUUAAUUUGAGCGCUGUGUUGAUUUGUGCAUUCCUUGUAAAGCACACACUAAAUUAGCUUCACAUCCCAGCCGUACCUUCAUCUGCAGCACACAUCUCUCCCCCAGCUCCUCUCAGCACUCACUUAGCCCUGUUCAGUUCCCCUGUAGGCACAGGUACACAUAUAUCAGCCUCUUGUAAUCAUGAAGACGAGGGACGAACUUACAAAGACACCCGGCACACUGUGACAAUCCUUAACUGGGAGAAAAAAAAAAGAGAGAGAGAAAGCAAAGAAAGGUAGAAUAAGAGCAAGAAAAAAAGAAAAGGAAAGAAAACUAGAAAGAUGCAGCAACCAGUAAAACGAUGGUGGCAAAGAUAAAAUGCCGAUGGAAAAAAUCCGUUAAAUGCAAAGUUUGAAAAAAACUUCCUAACUCGGUUAAUGCUGUGGAAAUAAUUCCAGUUCAUCUCAGUGCUAGUGAACGCCUAGUACAAAAUUCUUCAGAGGCGAGGGCUGGCUUAGUGCAGAGGAGAAACGUCGCUCCGUUGCCCUGUUGCAUCCAAAUUCUCCUUUCAGACAAGUUUCCGCGGCGUGAUGGAGAUGGGCAGAAGUCUGGAGAGUGCUUUCCUAUUAUAAGCUGUUAACUUGUUGGUUUGUACUCACAUAUAUUUUAAAGAAAUAAUAAACAUCUUAUAGUUCUGCACAUAUUCUAAAUUACAGUGGUUCUAGAAGAAUUUUGUAACUGACAAAUUAGAGCUUCGGUUUUACGAAUUCUGAAUUUUAAAACCGGUAAUGACUUCUCAGUCCCUGAGAUCCUCUUCUUUGUUUUUUUAUUUUGGGGUGUGUGGGUACGUGUAAGAUGAGAAAUGUACAAACACAAGUAUUUCAGAAACUCCAAGUAAUAUUCUGUCUGUGAGUUCACGGUAAAUAAAUAAAAAGGGCAAAGUGACAGAAAUACAGGAUUAUUAAAAGCAAAAUAAUGUUCUUUGAAAUCCCCCCCUUGGUGUAUUUUUUAUCUUAGGAUGCAGCACUUUCAGCAUGCCCAAGUAUUGAAAGCAGUGUUUUUACGCUACC
rnacentral:lncRNA from 1 species